GCAGUUGAGCAUAUAGGAUCCCAGAGUAAGGCUGCAGGGCAGCCCAGGACAUGGUCUUUAGUGAAUUCUACACAUUGCCCAAUCUUCAGACCCUAAGUAACAUCAGUGUCACCGGCAGAUCUGGAGGCCAGAAACAGAAGGGGUUGUGGCCAAACAAACUCUACUACAAAUAUCUGAUCUCGCGGGUAGCAGGAGAGAAAGAACAUCAGAGGCUUUCCUUCCAGAGGCACAGACUUGGUGAUUGGGAUUUAACCACUCAAAUUUCCUUAAGGAACAGAGAUACUUCAAAUUCAAUUUAGAAAAUAUAUUUACUUUAAAGGAAGUUUAGAAUCUAUGGGCUAAUCUCCAUUUGAAUCUGCAAGGAUGUGAUUCCUCCCUCCCUGUUUCCUGCACUUCUCUCAACAAUAUGAACCCUGCCUUCUGCCUUUUGGAGAAGUAGUUACUCUUUUAGAAGCAGUCAAGGAAGGAGAGACACAAUUAAACUCAGGGAGAAAUAAUUCUUGGUGAAGACCAGAAGAAAGAAA